rnacentral:rRNA from 1 species
CAGUAGCCGCGGGAAUACAGAGGGUGCGAGCGUUAAUCGGAUUUACCGGGCGUAAAGCGUGCGUAGGCGGCUUCUUAAGUCGGAUGUGAAAUCCCUGAGCUUAACUUAGGAAUUGCAUUCGAUACUGGGAAGCUAGAGUAUGGGAGAGGAUGGUAGAAUUCCAGGUGUAGCGGUGAAAUGCGUAGAGAUCUGGAGGAAUACCGAUGGCGAAGGCAGCCAUCUGGCCUAAUACUGACGCUGAGGUACGAAAGCAUGGGGAGCAAACAGGAUUAGAUACCCCGGUAGUCCCUGUCUCUUAUAC